rnacentral:rRNA from 1 species
ACGGGAGGCAGCAGUGGGGAAUAUUGCACAAUGGGGGAAACCCUGAUGCAGCGACGCUGCGUGAGUGAAGAAAUAUUUCGGUAUGUAAAGCUCUAUCAGCAGGGAAGAAAAUGACGGUACCUGACUAAGAAGCACCGGCUAAAUACGUGCCAGCAGCCGCGGUAAUACGUAUGGUGCAAGCGUUAUUCGGAUUUACCGGGUGUAAGGGGAGCGCAGGCGGUACGGCAAGUCUGAUGUGAAAGCCCGGGGCUCAACCCCGGUACUGCAUUGGAAACUGUCGGACUAGAGUGUCGGAGGGGUAAGCGGAAUUCCUAGUGUAGCGGUGAAAUGCGUAGAUAUUAGGAGGAACACCGGUGGCGAAGGCGGCUUACUGGACGAUAACUGACGCUGAGGCUCGAAAGCGUGGGGAGCAAACAGGAUUAGAUACCCUGGUA